AUUGAACGCUGGCGGCAUGCUUUACACAUGCAAGUCGAACGGUAACAGGCCUUCGGGUGCUGACGAGUGGCGAACGGGUGAGUAAUGCAUCGGAACGUGCCCAGAGGUUGGGGAUAACGCAGCGAAAGCUGUGCUAAUACCGCAUGUGAUCUGAGGAUGAAAGCGGGGGACCAAGCAGCAAUGUUUGGCCUCGCGCCUCUGGAGCGGCCGAUGUCAGAUUAGGUAGUUGGUGGGGUAAAGGCCUACCAAGCCGACGAUCUGUAGCUGGUCUGAGAGGACGACAAGCCACACUGGGACUGAGACACGGCCCAGACUCCUACGGGAGGCAGCAGUGGGGAAUUUUGGACAAUGGGCGCAAGCCUGAUCCAGCAAUGCCGCGUGCGGGAAGAAGGCCUUCGGGUUGUAAACCGCUUUUGUACGGAACGAAAAGGCUCUGGCUAAUACCUGGGGCUGAUGACGGUACCGGAAGAAUAAGCACCGGCUAACUACGUG
rnacentral:rRNA from 1 species